UACGUAGGGGGCAAGCGUUGUCCAGAUUUAUUGGGUUUAAAGGGUGCGUAGGCGGCUUUGUAAGUCAGUGGUGAAAUAUGGCAGCUCAACUGUCAGGGUGCCAUUGAUACUGCGGAGCUUGAGUACAGAUGAGGUAGGCGGAAUUGACGGUGUAGCGGUGAAAUGCUUAGAUAUCGUCAAGAACACCGAUAGCGAAGGCAGCUUACUAGGCUGUAACUGACGCUGAGGCACGAAAGUGUGGGGAUCAAACAGG
rnacentral:rRNA from 1 species